rnacentral:rRNA from 1 species
GAUGAACGCUAGCUACAGGCUUAACACAUGCAAGUCGAGGGGUCUUUUGGAGCUUGCUUUAAAAGACGACCGGCGCACGGGUGAAUAACGCGUAUCCAACCUGCCCUUCAUAUUGGGAUAGCCUUCCGAAAGGAAGAUUAAUACCGAAUAACAUGAUAGAGUUGCCUGAUUUUAUCAUGAAAGCUCCGGCGAUGAAGGAAGGGGAUGCGCUCCAUUAGGUAGUAGGCGGGGUAACGGCCCACCUAGCCGACGAUGGAUAGGGGUUCUGAGAGGAAGGUCCCCCACACUGGAACUGAGACACGGUCCAGACUCCUACGGGAGGCAGCAGUGAGGAAUAUUGGUCAAUGGGCGCAAGCCUGAACCAGCCAAGUAGCGUGAAGGAUGACUGCCCUAUGGGUUGUAAACUUCUUUUAUACGGGAACAAACCCUGGUACGUGUACCAGAUUGCGUGUACCGUAUGAAUAAGCAUCGGCUAACUCCGUGCCAGCCGCCGCGGUAACAC